rnacentral:rRNA from 1 species
CCUACGGGUGGCAGCAGUGGGGAAUAUUGGACAAUGGGCGAAAGCCUGAUCCAGCCAUGCCGCGUGUGUGAAGAAGGCCUUCGGGUUGUAAAGCACUUUCAGUGGGGAAGAAAGCCUUGGGGCUAAUACCCUCGAGGAAGGACAUCACCCACAGAAGAAGCACCGGCUAACUCCGUGCCAGCAGCCGCGGUAAUACGGAGGGUGCGAGCGUUAAUCGGAAUUACUGGGCGUAAAGCGCGCGUAGGCGGUCUGAUAAGCCGGUUGUGAAAGCCCCGGGCUCAACCUGGGAACGGCAUCCGGAACUGUCAGGCUAGAGUUCAGGAGAGGAAGGUAGAAUUCCCGGUGUAGCGGUGAAAUGCGUAGAGAUCGGGAGGAAUACCAGUGGCGAAGGCGGCCUUCUGGACUGACACUGACGCUGAGGUGCGAAAGCGUGGGUAGCAAACAGGAUUAGAUACCCCAGUAGUC